GUAGGGCCCCUGGCCUUCAGGUCACCUUUGUGUGGGGCAGUGGGGGUGGGCAAGGCACAUACACACUCAGACACCACACACACCACACAUACUUUCACACACACCCCACACACACACCACACACACAUCACACAUACUUUCACACACACACACCACACACACAUCACAUAUACUUUCACACACACACCACACACACAGACACCACACAUACUUUCACACACACCACACACACCACACACACAUCACACAUACUUUCACACACACACACCACACACACAGACACCACACAUACUUUCACACACACCCCCCACACACACCAGACAUACUUUCACAAACACCCCCCACACACCACACACACAUCACACAUACUUUCACACACACACCCCACACACAUCACAUAUACUUUCACAUACACACCACACAUACUCACAGACACCACACACACAACCACACACACACACCACACACAUACUUACACCACACACCACACACACAAUCACACACACACAGACACCACACACACCACACAGUCUUUCACACACACACACCACACACCACACACUCUCUCACACACACACCACACACAGACACCACACACACUCCCAGAUAUCCCACCCGCACGCCCAUGCACACUCACACACCACACACUUACACUCUCAAACACACACAUACACCACACUCACAGCCCUAUCUCUCAUGCACACACUCUCACACUAUCACCACACACACACUCACACCACACUCACAGCUCUCUGUCUCACACACACACUCACAGCUCACACACACACACUCUCUCUCUCUGCUGUGAAGGGUCCAGGGGGCAAGUCUGCCUUAUAUUCUCUCUGUGUCUGCCUAGCACUUAGCACAGUGCUUAGCACACAGUAGGGCCUUUAUGGCACGUGCUGUGGCUGACCAGGUGGGUGGAUGGACAGAUGCGCCUGAGAACAGUAAGUGCGCACUCAUCCACCCAUGGGCUCAGCCUCUGUUCAUUGUGCACCUACUAUGUGCAGGCUCUGCUCCAGCCUCCGCCAUGCAGUGGAGAGCCAGACCAUGGGCGCCUGCUCUCAAAGGUCCAACAGGCUAGCCACGGAUAGACGAGCAGAUGAGUCCAUCCAGCUGGAGCCAGGGGCUCUGGCGCCCCCACCCCCAUUCCUCAGGGCAGAGCCAUGAUGAGUGACCGUGGCAGAUGGCUGCAUCUCCUUUUCUGGUCCCACAUGCAGGGCCGCGUUAAGUGAGCCCCGGAGGCCUGGUACCCAGUAGGUGCUGCGUGGUGGUCACAGAACUGAGAAACGAAGACCCCUGAGCUCCCUCUCCUUGCCCAGCGUUCAAGUUUCUUCCCACGGGGCCACGGAUGUUCCCUGGGAAUCCGGGAGUGCCGAGGGUGAGGAAUCAGCCUAUGGCAAUGGGACCAAGGCAGUCAUAACACGCACCUCUUACGGUGCAGGCAGGAUUAGAG
rnacentral:lncRNA from 1 species